UCUACUAUGUUCACCUUUAUAAUCCUCUGUUUCAGAUUUCACCUCACAAAGCUAUAAUUUCGGUUGAUAUCACAGAAUUCUAUUGAAACUCCAAGCACUUGGGACAGUCUUGCUGGCUCAAAUCGUCAGAUAGGCCUAAUCAAAACUCAACAAUCUCCUGACUCAACAAUCUAGUUAGUGUCAUUAACUCAAGAGGUGAGCCAAGCUCUGGGUCAAGGGACUGAGAUUUGAGAGCAUAAAUUGGGUCAAGAGAAGAUCAAGAAGAAAAGAGCAAGUUUCGUUUACACGAUGAUACAAAGAUUAGUCAAGAAAAUUCACCAAUCUUCUUCUAUCUCAAGAACAUGAUAACAAUAGAUGAGACCAAGAACACCGUUUAGUACUUUUCCAAAUUUGUAGAAAAGUUAUGUCUCUCUUGUUUUGUAACCUUGUGACUGUGAGUAGUGAGUACUCUUGUGAUAUAGUGAGUGGUUAUAGAAGAACAAGUUGUAUGAAUGUCAUGUCUAUCUUUUUUUGUAAAUUUUCCCUAUUGUAUGUGUGCCCCAAUAUAUAAAACCGGUGAAUUUGUGAUAUAAUGAGAAGUGGUUCGAGAAGACAAAGUUGGAUAAUUUCAUUUCAUA